rnacentral:lncRNA from 1 species
AGCGUGCUAUGGCUCAGAAACUAGAAGCUAUUAGGGGUGGUGGAGGUUCCAUUAAAGUAGGUACUACUGGGACAAUAAGUGCCCUAAUGUCUCGAGAACUCGAAUCUGCAUCUCAGGUUCCUGGUACAUGCACGUCCGUCUCUGCUUCAACCGGUGAUGCAGCUCCAAGAAGACUGAAACCUGGAACGUCAGCAGAUGAGGCGA